CCUACGGGUGGCAGCAGUGGGGAAUAUUGGACAAUGGGCGCAAGCCUGACCCAGCAACGCCGCGUGAAUGAAGAAGGCCUUCGGGUUGUAAACUUCUGUUAUCAGGGACGAAGCAAGUGACGGUACAUUAUGAAUAAUCCACGGCUAACUACGUACCAGCAGCCGGGGUAAUACGUAGGUGGCAAGCGUUAUCCGCAUUGGCUGGGAGUAAAGUGCGGGCAGGCGGGCGUGCAAGUCAGAUGUGAAAGCUAUGGGCUUAACCCGUGGAGUGCAUUUGAUACAGGGCUACUUGAGUGCUGGAGAGGCGAUCGGAAUUCCAUGUGUAGCGGUGAAAUGCGUAGAUAGACGGAGGAACACCAGUGGCGAAGGCGGCUUGCUGGACAGUAACUGACGCUGAGGUGCGAAAGCGUGGGGAGCAAACAGGAUUAGAUACCCUUGUAGUC
rnacentral:rRNA from 1 species